GACGAACGCUAGCGGCGUGCCUAAUACAUGCAAGUAGAACGCAGUUGAGAACGGGUGAGUAACGCGUAGGAAACUGACGCAUAGCGGGGGAUAACUAUUGGAAAAGAUCGCUAAUACCGCAUACUGUGAGAUGGACCAGCGUGGUAUUAGCUAGUGGGUGGGGUAAAGUCUCAACAAGGCGACGAUACAUAGCCGACCUGAGAGGGGUAUCGGCCAGACUGGGACUGAUACACGGCCCAGACUGCUACGGGAGGCAGCAGUAGGGAAUCUUCGGGCAUGGGCGGAAGUCUGACCGGGCAACGCUGGGUGAGUGAAGGAGGUUUUCGGAUCGGAAAGCUUGGUUGGUAGGGAAGCGGUAUCUAACCAGAAAGGGACGGCUAACUACGUGCCAGCAGCCGCGGUAAUAC
rnacentral:rRNA from 1 species